AGAUCACCAUGAUGACUUACAAGCAACUCACUGUACUUUGAUGUCAGACUAUCUGUAUUUCUAAUACAGUGACAGAAGAUUUUUUAGCAUAGUCAAAUACUUGUGAAGUCUAUGUGUGAGUUAAGAUGUGAUUGACCGCUUCUGAUUUCAGGAGUUAAUGCUACAAUGUGUUUCAAUUUAGUAAAACCUUGGCCAAGAUAAUCCGUAUGAGGAGUCACAGG
rnacentral:lncRNA from 1 species